GACGAACGCUGGCGGCGUGCUUAACACAUGCAAGUCGAACGGAAAGGCCCUGCUUGCAGGGUGCUCGAGUGGCGAACGGGUGAGUAACACGUGGGUGAUCUGCCCCUUACUUUGGGAUAAGCCUGGGAAACUGGGUCUAAUACUGGAUAGGACCAUGCUGUAGGUGGUGUGGUGGAAAGAUUAGUUUCGGUAAGGGAUGAGCUCGCGGCCUAUCAGCUUGUUGGUGGGGUAAUGGCCUACCAAGGCGUCGACGGGUAGCCGGCCUGAGAGGGUGGACGGCCACAUUGGGACUGAGAUACGGCCCAGACUCCUACGGGAGGCAGCAGUGGGGAAUAUUGCACAAUGGGCGCAAGCCUGAUGCAGCGACGCCGCGUGGGGGAUGACGGCCUUCGGGUUGAAAACUCCUUUCAGCCAUGACGAAGCCCUUGUGGUGACGGUAGUGGUAGAAGAAGCACCGGCUAACUACGUG
rnacentral:rRNA from 1 species